rnacentral:sRNA from 1 species
CAUUUAGAGGAAGUAAAAGUCGUAACAAGGUUUCCGUAGGUGAACCUGCGGAAGGAUCAUUACAGAGUUCAUGCCCUUCGGGGUAGACCUCCCACCCGUGUAUAUACUACCGUGUUGCUUUGGCGGGCCGCCGCAAGGCCCUGGCUCCGGCUGGGUCGCGCCCGUCAGAGGACCCCGAAACUCUGAAUGUUAGUGUCGUCUGAGUACUAUAUAAUAGUUAAAACUUUCAACAACGGAUCUCUUGGUUCUGGCAUCGAUGAAGAACGCAGCGAAAUGCGAUAAGUAAUGGAAUUGCAGAAUUCAGUGAAUCAUCGAAUCUUUGAACGCACAUUGCGCCCCUUGGUAUUCCGGGGGGCAUGCCUGUUCGAGCGUCAUUUCAACCCUCACGCCCCGCGUGGUAUUGGGCCCCGCCGGCGACGGCGGGCCCUAAAGACAGUGGCGGCGCCUGAUGGCCCUGAACGUAGUACAUCUCUCGUUACAGGCGCUGGAAGGACGCUGGCCAGCAACCCCAAUUUUCUAUGGUUGACCUCGGAUCAGGUAGGGAUACCCGCUGAACUUAAGCAUAUCAAUAAGCGGAGGA